AACACUUGGAAGCUCCUCAGGAGCAGAAACAACGUGUGGUUACCUUUUUGUAUUCCUGAUGGUGCUCAGCACAGAAUGCAUCACAUGACAUGUCUCAAUAUUUAUUUGAUGAAUGAUCUGACAUGACAUGGAAUAAUCCAGGAAUGGCAAGGCAUGGAUUCACCACUUCUGAAAAAACCUGGGAACUGCUACAAAAGGGGUUGUUCUGAUGAUCCACUGGCAAAGAGGAGGCACAAAACCGGCCAGGCUCCAGAAUUCACUGAGGUGAAAUGAGCUAAUGAAAAUCAAAACAGAGGAGCAGCAAGACCAGUGGAAAUAACUCCAAUAUCCAAGGAGUGACCAACUGGCACAGAUCAUCCCCCGCUCUACUCUCCACCCAAAAGCCAGACCACUGGAAAGUGUCCACGGCGGUCAGAUGCCAUCAGGAGCUGAAAUGAAAUGGACUAUGCGGUGUAUGUCUUCCUUUGUGUGGGGAGAAGGGACUUGUCCAUAAUGCGAGUCUGCUGGCCCAGGUCAUGAAUGACAGGCACAGCUCCCAGCCCCAAAUCAUCACAAGGGUCCAUGACCUAUUUUCAACAUUUCAACAAGCCCAAUCCAGCCUGGGCAGCAUGGUGAAACCCCGUCUCUACAAAAAAUACAAAAAUUAGCUAGGCAUGGUGAUGCACGCCUGUAGCCCCAGCUACUCAGGAGGCUGAGUGGAAGCAAUUUAUAGGGUGCGAGCGGCAGCACUGUAAGAAAGUUUGUGAGGAAGGAGAGUUUUGUAACUGGAGUCAAAUCCAGAGGGGCUUCCUGGCAGAGAAACAAACCACAGGUCAGGCCAAUGAUGGUCCCAGCUCUAGCGGGGCCCUGCCCUGGGCAAUGCACAUUUUAGUAAGAGGUAAGCCAAGGCCUCUGGGCCCCCAACCCUUCACUAGUGCUAGUGUGCUGAACCCCUGGCUCAGGAAGAAGGGAGGUGCUACAGGGGCAGGCCUUGGCAUGGAAGGAAUUGGGAGCUGCUCGGUAUAAUGCAAACCUUUAACUGCUCUUUUGCCUCUUCCAUUUUACUGUUCCUAGAAUC
rnacentral:antisense_RNA from 1 species